GAUGAACGCUGGCGGCGUGCCUAAUACAUGCAAGUCGAGCGAACGGACGAGAAGCUUGCUUCUCUGAUGUUAGCGGCGGACGGGUGAGUAACACGUGGAUAACCUACCUAUAAGACUGGGAUAACUUCGGGAAACCGGAGCUAAUACCGGAUAAUAUUUUGAACCGCAUGGUUCAAAAGUGAAAGACGUUCUUGCUGUCUCUUAUAGAUGGAUCCGCGCUUCAUUAGCUAGUUGGUAAGGUAACGGCUUACCAAGGCAACGAUGCAUAGACGACCUGAGAGGGUGAUCGGCCACACUGGAACUGAGACACGGUACAGACGACGACGGGAGGGAGCAGUAGGGAAUGUGACGCAAUGGGCGAAAGCAUGAAGGAGCAAAGCCGCGUGAGUGAUGAAGGUCUUCGGAUCGUAAAACUCUGUUAUUAGGGAAGAAAAUAUGUGUAAGUAAAUGUGCACAUAUUGACGGUACCUAAUCAGAAAGCAACGGCUAACUACGUG
rnacentral:rRNA from 1 species